AUUUAUUGGGAGUAAACAAUAGUGAAGACGAUUUAGAACUUCUCAUAAAUAUCAAAUCAGUAUCGAAUUUCAAUAUAAAUGCGGUGAUGUUUGAUUAAAGUAAAGUUAUUCACUCUUUCUAUUUGGAAGAUUUUACUUCACGUGGUGAUGCUUUAUAUUGUUAAGAAAACAGACAUCUUUAAAUCUUCCGAUCAAUGUUAUUAUUGUCAAUACAGGCUGCUGCACUUUAACCCACUCCACAUUAAUCAAUGGAAGGUUCUAAAAGAAAAAGAAGAAAAAGAAAAGAACAUAACUAGUUUGUGGUGUGAGAUACUAACGUUAUUUACUGUUUUCAUAAUCAGGAUAUCUGUCUAAAAAAAAGCUUCUACAGAAAUCUAUAUCGAAUACAUAAAAGCUAUUUUUGAUACUUGGACUGUAUAGGAUCUAACAAUCCUCUACUUUGCCACAAAAUGGUCUGACCAAGAGUUCAAGUUAGGAAUAACUUUAGUGUGUAAUUUCUCAUCGAAUUACACACCUAUUUAAGUGUUACCUCAUACAAUCGUCUAGUUUUAUUGGAGCCUAAAAAGUGAAAGAUAUAGAAAGAUAAAAUUUUAUAUUCAUUUUAUGUAUCCGUUAGUCUGAUUGUCUAUUCUCAAAGUUUUCUGUAAAAACAAAUAAAAAAAAAUUUAAACUGCAAAAA